ensembl:lncRNA
GGGGAGGAGGUGAUCUCCACAGCCCUGAUCACUGGAAUAUUGUUGAAAAUCUACUACUGCCAUGGAGAGAUUCCAAGCAUUGAAAAUAAAGGUGACUGGUGCUUCAAGAGAAAAAUGGAUGAUGCUAUUUUAGAGAUGCUGGAAGCAUAAAUGGUUUUGAACACUUAUUUUUUUUCUUCUGUAAUCAAAGCCAGAUGUAUAUAUAUUUUUUUCCUAUCAUGAAAAAGCAAAGAACUUAGAGUACACUUCUUCAAAGUCUAAGAAUGCUGUAAAAAUGCAUCCAAGUAGAUCUUUGCAAUAAAAUUUUAUCUUGAAAAUGAUAACCAAAACUGGCAUAUUAUGAGUUUGGAUCAUUUACCUUCUGAACAUGACAAUCCUAUCAUGUAGUUGUUGUGAAAGAAUUUCUGAUAAACUGAGGGGCACUUAUAGCUGGUCCCAGUAGAAAACAACAGGAGAAUAGGACUUAAAUUAUCAUAGGUGUUUGUUUUUUUUUCUGGGUAAGGCAUGUUAUGUGUAUUAUAGACAAAUAGCAAAAGCUGAAGAUGGAUUUUGGAAGCGUUGCAGAUGAAACUUAGAGUACUUGGACAUCUUGAUAGAAGGAAUCCCUCAUGGCACCUGCUCACUUAGCACAUUUCCUUCCUCCACCAGCAGAGUCAAGGCCUUUCUUUUUCUGAGUCCACGAUACAGUACUUCGAAAGGAGCAGAGAAGUUGAAAGAGCUUAGUGGGCUGUAGGAGGAUUCCCAGUUUAGUCACUCAUUACUAAGAAGUUGAAGAGCAUGCCAGUUCUAGGAGUGACACCAAUACAGAAGAAAUGUAACUGGUUGAGUAGAGGUGUGAUCUCAAACCCUGCUUGAAUUAAUCAGUUUUCAAAUACAGCGUAUUGAUGAGUGAGCAAAAAAAGUUAGUGCAGCUCAAUGCUGGCAGCACCUGGAGAGCAAGCGCCAAUGAGUGUAAGAAUGCCAUUUUACAUUUCAUAUCUGUUUUAUAAGACUGCACAUCUUCAACUCAUCUUUACACAUUUUCACUGAAAGCCAAUUGCACUUACGUUGUUCUUUCUGUUGAUUUGGAUGCUCUUCAUCCUUGUUUUUGUUUUGUUCAGUGCUUGUAGUAGCACCUUAUCUGCAAGCAUUUAACAUGCCGUUUUGUUGAAAUACUGUUGACCUCAACAGCCAAAUCAUUUCAGUUAAUACAGUUUUCCCAGGGAACUUGGAUGAGGAUAUUUGUUCAGUGUGGAGUGUUCUGCUUUGAUCAGUUGGAGGGAGUUUAUAAGCAGCCGAAAGGAACCCCGUAAGUUAUGUUCGACGAAAUAUGUUUUCAUUGCCAUCAACUUAGUUAUCAGUCAUUUUCACCUUCACUUACCCAGUAAAACCAGGAUAAAUGCUUCUUCCUGUGAGACAGCAGGUGAAGCCUGUUCAUAUUCAUCACUUUAUUUUCCCUCUCGCCAGCCACAAGGCAUGAAAUGCAUCCUAAUCCUCCUGUGAUUCCUAUUUCAUUGUUUCUGCUUGGAUUGUUGCCUGUGACUGCAUCUCAGAUAUUCAGGUGGUUUGGAGGCAAAGGAGCAGAAAAAUACAUUCUGCUUAUCUUUUUGUUUUGAACAUGUUGCAAAGGGAAGAGGUCCAGGCCUUCUGGAAAAGCAGAGAAGCAACAGUGCUGAGGAAGUCUGAGCCUGCAGCUCGUUAUCAGAAGUGGUGAGAGGUCUUACUUUUGAAGAGUAUCCUCUUGUCUGCCUUCAAUAUAAACCUUACCAGAAGAGAAGUGCUUGCAGUGGGCUGGUCUUUCUCAUCAGGUCUUUGUCCCAGAGCUCUUCUGUGGUCUUGCUCUGAAUGAGAAUGUACUAGAAACCUGCUCUGAGGGUCAGGAUGCACUCCCUAAGGUGGAUUUUUUUGAGUGCUAAGGAAUAAAAUACUCUUAGUUAUAGUCAAAACAAACUGUUCCUUUGGAUGUCCUCAGAGGAGAUCUAAAUAUUGUACAUCGGAUGAGGAUAACUUUGUGAGGUGUCUCUCAGCCAGCUGUUAGGCCUCUUAGGCAACUCCACAUUUCCUUCCAAAGCUCAACUCAAUUGUUUGAUCCAGGUGUUCCAUGUUAGAGAACCAUUUGUGUAGGAGAGGCUUUAACAUCUUUCUAGUAUUCUAAUGUAAGUAAACCUAUGGAUUAAAUAAAAUCACUGAGCAAGGAUAUGCGCAGAGAAAACUCUGUCUUCCAGAUUUCACAGGGCUUUUUAGGUGUCGUCUUUUUUAGAAGAAUAGAGCUCCUCCUUCCACAGUUUCAUUGGAAAUGGCAUCGAGUAUCCUUUUAGCAACUGGUCUCGAGCUUAAGAGAGAAACAGCAAAAGAAGAUCAAAUGACUGGCUAUAUAGGUAGGUGUUGCUGAAAUGAGAUAUAAACAUGCUAGUACUUGAGUAUCUAGAGUGAUUUUAUAGUAUAUUACAAGAUCUUAGUGCAAGAACAGUAGAGUGGGUUGAUCCAACAAGCAAUGCGUGAACCCUAGAGCAAGUCUGUAGGCAAAUCUGGAACAAGAAGCAAGUUCUUCCAAACAGUGAUUCCUUUCAUCUCAGAUAGAUGGGUAUCUGAUGGGUUCAGUUGUACAAGUGUUUCUCAGUGCAAGAAAGCAGUUCUUUCUAAUGCAGAUGCUUCUUUUGCUAGUGCUUAGUAUGCACUGGGGAGCUGAUCUAAGAUAACACUGGUGUUUUAAUUCUCUGGUUUGGGUUUAGUGCAGGUUUUAUAUAUGAUUGAGAAUGAUACAUGUGGAAGGGCCAGAAUACUGCCUUCCUUUAUUUAAAUGACAAUUAGAAAAAAAGUCUGGUGGUAAUGCACCCUACCCAAGGCUGGAAAGAGUGAGGAGUGGAGUGGGAUGUAUACAUGGUGCAGAUAGUGGCUACUGUUCUGCCAGCUAAAGAUAGGGAGUAAAACAUGAUACAGAUGUGGGGAUGAAACAGGGAAUUCCACCCAAAGAAUGGGAAGGUGUCAAGAUGUGGCAUCUCUUGUUCAUUACAACAACUUUUAGCAGGACUGUGCUCUAACUGCCUGCUGUGAAAUCAGCUGAUAAGAUAGGCAGCACAUUGGAGGUUCUUGCUGUUUGACUGAAGCCUCCCUAUGAUGUACCUGAAGAAGACAUUUGGACAGUCAGCGUUCUUCCCUAACAGCGUGCUCAUCAUGAAAGCAGGUCUUUAUUAGAGUGCCCAUUACUGUGUACUUCUCAAAUAAGUCGGGCAGGUAAAGUCAUCUCAGGUCUUUGAAACAAAAACACAUAGGAAGUCUUUGAAAAUCCUGAACUAGAAUUAAAAUGUCUAAGAGAAUUUUUGUGUGGGCAAAGCAUUGCAAGCACCAGCAUCAAAAUUCUGCGGAAGUUGCAUUAAAAGAAAUCUGUUGUAGUCAGAUGAUGUCUCUCUCUCUUCUUUGUUCUUAUGUCUUAGAUUUUUCUAAAGAUGGUACUUGAGGACAAAGUAGCAGCAGUGUUUGUGUAGGGAGAAGACAGCCUGAUAAAGCUGCGCGUUGUUUUAGGACUUUUUAGAGAUUAUUUUUAAAGAACGCUCAACGUGAACUGCAUCUUUCCAUUGUAAUCUCUUCCUCUGUUGUUGAAUCAGUCAUUCUAGAAGGAGUGCACUCUUUCUCAGUGGGGGUACAGAAUAAACUGCUGCACAGGCUUAGUGGAAAUCUUGCAUAGUGUGAAAUCUGAACUUUCAGAAGUGGGAAGUUGCUCCUAGGCUUGGUAACCAGCAGAGUGGUAGCAAGUAACAGUAACUUAGGUCUGUGCUGCCUUCUGUAGCUGUGUGCCUUUCAGCUUGAGAUCCUACAUGCUUGGAAUGCUAACAAGUUACAUGCUUCAUAUCUAUUUAAACAUCUUGUAUUUCUUAAGGAGCUCCCAAUCAUGAGUAAAAAAUACAGUAUGGGGCAAAAUAUACUUGAACUUUUUUAUAUGUUAAAAUGUAUAUCAUUCAGAUACUGAGCUGGAUCUAGCCCUGGAUACAGCUGUCUUGAGACUGAGCUUUGCUCUUCAUUAGGGAUGUGGAAUAAUAAUUCACAUGGAUCCUCUGUUAGCAGUUGCUGAAUUUGUUGGUAGGUGACGAUAUCUGAAGUUACGAAUCUUCUGUGCAGUAGAGACUGCAGCAUAGAAUAUGUGAUAGGACCUCCAGGGGGAAGCAUAGGACUGGAAGGACCAUGCUGGCUUUUAGCAGAGACAGACUUUCUGAUACUCAGAACCUUUGUUUGUGUUAGCAGUAAAUCUUUUCUAUACCAAAUUGAGACUACAUAAUCUUCAUCUUGAAGAAUAACACUGUCAGGCUUUAAUACCAAAAGAUUGGAUGGACUCAUUACUCAUGGAGAUAAGACUACCUGAUGAAAAAUGAGAUGCAGUGUGUGAUUAAACACUCAGACCCUCUGCUAAUUAUAUUCUUGGUUCAGUUCUGUCAUUACAACAACUCAGUGCAGGUGUGUGCUGUCUGGAAGAAGAGAAGUAAUGGUAGAAUUGAAAGAAGCCAAAGUCCAGAGCUGUGUAAAAUUAUUUUUGGUAAAUUGCAUAAAUAAAACAUCUUAGAAAUGAUAAUUGUCUGCACAGCAAUUGGAAAUCAAGCUCAAAAAUGAAAUUAAAACUUUUUUUGAUAUCUUCAGUAUGUCAGUGCCUGGUCCCUUUUAUCUACUAAUAAUGUUUUAGCUUCUAUUCUCAUCUUGUCUCACGUUAUCCCAGAAGAAUGUUCACGGCGCCAUAUGAACUGAGCAAGGUGGUAAGUUAAUUUGUCUUUAUACUCCAGAAGUUUGAUUGCAGGCUUUUUUGGGUCUAUUUCAUUCCUAGUGUGGAUAUGCAGGGUGCUGUACUGUGCCAGGCAUCAAGUGAGACGCAUCCCGGAAAUGUUUCUGAAUGUAUGAAGAAAUGAGAAGGAACACGUUUCCCCGUGGGUGAAUCCCAGCCUGCAGAAUGCUGUGGGUGAUACUGAAGAGCUCAGGCAGGCCUGUAGCAUGGAGCUGCUCUUUAGCUUCUGACUGAUGCAUCUCAUCAACCGGUGUUCUACAGAGCGAUAAACAGGAGGGAAAGGGCUUAUGAGAGCAUACGUCUCGAUCACAUUGCAGCUGCUUGUGCUGUGUACCACAUUCUUAACGUUAUUAGAAUCAUUCCCAGUAUAAUCAAACUAUGCUUCUCCAGUUACAUCAAGGCUAAUUUUGGCCCGGUGCUUUCUGCAGCUCAGGCAGACUUGAUGGAAGCAUUUUUAAUCACUUUUUACAAUCCUGCACACAAAUUUCAGUUGUAUCCUGGUGUAAGAAGUUUUAGCACCCCAGCACUGUACUGGAGCAGUUCACGUUGGCCCUGGGGUGGCUGAGGAUGGCUUUUCAAUGUUUACAGACUACGUGGGGAAAAAGAAAGGAGCUGUCAAGUGGAGAAAUGAGGGCAUGGAUCAUAGGAAUUUCUAGUUUCUUCUCAAUAUUGUUGUAUUUUUAAAUAUACCUUCCUUUUCUAAGUGUUUUCUAGGUUUCUACGCUCUGUCCCUAUCAACCCCUCAUGUGGUUUGUCAUGCACUGCAGUCAGAAGGCUUGACUUGCAUUUAUCUUUUGGCUUAGAGCUAAUUCCCCAUGCCAACAUUCACAACAACAGAAUUGAUUGAGGAAGUGAAUAUUGCACUUUUUCUUGAGUUUCAGUUGAAGUGUUUAGGAAGUUGGACCUUAAUUAGCUUUUGGUAGAGCUGAAGUAGAGGAAUAGUUAUGUAACUGCCCAGCUGUUUGUGAGAAAACACCUUCAUUUGGUGACAUCUGAGUCCCUUCAGUGCCUUCUGAGAGGUACCUGCUGCUUUGCAGGGCUCACGUGGAGUAAUUGGGAGACUUCAUAAUACCAUGUGAUUUAAAAAUAAAAAAUAACAAAAGUAGAGCAAAAUGAAAAUCCAUCAUACUUUACAUUAACAGCUUUCAAUGUCUGCUUUUUUUUUUUUUUUUUGCAUGAUUUGUAUUGGGAGAAGAAGAAAACAAAAGAAUAACCCUGGUGUUCUGUUUGUCCUCGAUGUAAGGACUGCAUAGUACUGCAUCUUCUGGAUAGAGAAGGGCAGGCGUUUGGAGGCUGAGGGUUGGUAAGAUACAGCGCGACUUCUGUCUCUUGGCCUUUGGUGCCCUUUGCAGUGCUGGAAGUUUUGUUUUUGUUGUUUCUUACUUUGGUGUUUUGAUGGUAUUCCAGGUGGAAGUAUUAGGGAGGAGGAAGACAAACAUGUAGACUGGAGCUAUUGCUAUUGGACCUAGAAAGUUAGGAGGAGAUGGGUUUGCUUCCAUAAUGAUGUUCCUGUGGUGGGAUGUAAUUAAGGGAAGGGAGCAGGGACCCCUGAGUGGAGCCGCUGAGGCCCUCUUAAACCAAGCUGGUUUGUCAUGCUCCAGGUCUGCUAAGUUUGUAUUGUCAGGUUGUGCACAGAAAUGUCUUAAGCUGUUUCCAGAGUGGACGUAACCCUGAAAGCAAUGGGUUCAUGCACAUCUUGUGCUUGAUUCCUGAAGCCUGGCUCUGAGCUGGCUCAGCACAGGGCUGAGGUGUGGCUGACUUUGGCCUGCUCGGAGCACUGACUGCACAUGUUAAGGAACACCUUGAAGAUCUGAUUCCACUGAAGGAAUGCUCACGUGGAGUAAUGGCUUUCCAUGUUUUCUGGAGUUUGGCAGUCACAUGGGUUCUGACAGCAAUGCCACGUGCUCUGGGACAUUAGGCAGCAAUGUCUGGUUGGUCUCCUAUAGCUGUUAACCUGCAUAUUUCCAUUUUUCAAAUCCCUUCCUUCUAGCAUUACGUCUGUUCUGUAUACUGGCUCUCCUCUGAGUUCAGACGGCUCCUGCUACCAUACAGCACGUGCUGUGCCAGGUGAGAAAGGUGGGCUUGGCAUUCAGAUUUGCAGCAGUUCCUCUGCCUGCAGCUCCUGCUUCGUUCACAGGUGUGCGAAGCCUGGUACACGUGAGGUCUUUACAGUUUCUCUCAUGAGCUCAGUGAAUGGGUAUUUCCUGCUCUUUCCAAAAUCCUGAUAAACCAAGAAAUCAGCAGCCGAAACCACAUAGCCUUGCUUGCAGCUUUUCACCUCUUGAUAUUCUGUGAUCCUUUUCCAUUUGGGCUGUGACCCUUUCAUUUUGGAGUGGGCCUCCUUCCAGCCUCCUACUCGUGUUCACGAGAAGUGAAGGUGUAACAGCCCUUUCAUUCCUUGCAGUGGGUUCCUGAUCACAAAAGUGGCAACACCCCCUGGCAGGGCUCACUGGGCCUUGAGGUGGGGUUGCAUGGCACAGCUUUGAGGUGUUGCUGCACGUCUUGGGUGCGCUUCAGUGACUGCUGAUACCUCCUGCUCUGCUCUUCACACUUCUGGAGUGCAACCUUUAAUGCUCCUGAUGACAGCUUCGUCUUCCAGAACAGUGCAAGAGAUAGCUGAGAAGAUGAUAAUCAAAGCUUUACUGGCACUGGGGUGUUGCACACUUGACUGGUUCGUAGGUAUGGUAUCAGGUUUUUCUUACUGCAAGUUACACUUCUUGUGGCCCAAGAAUUCAUUUAGUGUCAGAGCUUUACUGCUUUAUCCCUACAGGCUGAUAGUAGGAGUCCAUCAACCAUUGCUUCUUCUUGGAACAUUGGUUAGAUCCACUUGAGAUGAGAGAUUUUCUUCUAAAUCUCAUCACCUCUGCUGAGCCAUGGCAGGCUGAUCGGCCUGGUUGUGUGUGGCUGUGCGAGCCUUCAUCUCCUUAGGGUUCGAGCUGUUGAGGUAGCUCCUGAAUCUCAACAUUCUUUGCUUUUCCCAAAUUAGUUUUUGUUUCAUCUUUGCUGCUUUUACCAUUAGGUGUAGAAGAUGCUGGCAGAGCAGUGCCUUUCUGGCAGGUAGCAUUGCCAAGGCUUGGGUAGGCAGCAAGGAACUUUGUAGCCUGGUUGUUUGUCAUUGCUGUGAAUACACUGCGUUCAUUCACAUCUUUGCCUGUUGUUCGUUGUAGGUUUACCUUUUUUCUAUGUUAAAAGACAUUCCCAACGUACAAUAGGAGAAACUGUUAAAAAGAAAGCUUUACCACUGAAACUGAAGAAUGGGGAUAUUUACUUACAAUGGAUUAGGUCGCAGACAAACUGGUAUUCAAGGACUAAAGCACAAAAUAGCCUAAAUAGCUUUGGUUAGAGCAUCCCAUUUCUUCUAGUGAGCUGAAGCAGUAACUUGGGUUACCACUGCCUGCCUUCUUGAUUCCAGAUUUAAUCUUAUAUUUUAGCUUAUAGGUGUUUGUGCAAAUGACAAGUUUAUUUUGAAGAACUGCUCAAGAUCUUUAUAAGCAUACCUCAGCAACUCAGGAUAUUUGAUGGCUGUUGUGCUUCAUUUCAAUUACCUUUGGCUUUAUUCUCCUGGAGAGGCAGGAGAGCAGUCUUACACUUUGCUCUAGUUGCAUUUUCCUUAAACUGUUGUGUAUUUGACAGUUGAUUAGCUAUUUAUCUAGUAGUGUUACUGGCGAUCUCCAUUGAAUUCUUAUCACGUUAACGAUGAGGACAGCACAGUCUUCGCUGGGAUUUUCGUGUCUGUUUUAUGCACAUUAUUUUUAAUGAGAGAUCACGUUUCUGCAUUCAUAUCUGCUAACCUCCCACUUCUUUUCCUUGGUGUAGGACUAGCGGGCCUGAGCUCUGCUACAACAGUUUUCGCCUGUUUAAAGUGUAAUGAUCUCAACUUUGGUCUGUUUUUAGAUGCUGAAGGACAGAGACUGUGAUGAGCACUAUCAGUGUGCAACGUGAACUGAUGGCAGGUAUUCAUAUCUGGUCCUCGUAGUCUGACAUAAAUAUGGAAGCCAUAAGGUGCAGUGUGACUUCUGGCCGUGGAUUCUUCUGUUCUUGAUGAAUAUUUCAGUGUUGAUAGAAACAUUUGUUUUCAUAGCAUGUCCAAGAGCUGUUCUGCAGUGGAGAAGGUAAGUUCAUAGGUGUGGGCAGGGGAUGGACAACCAAGCCCUUCAUCUGUUCUCAUGUUUUUUUUUUCCUCUGACGCAGUCCUUACAGUUGUAUGGACAGAUGUUGGGCUGAUCAAACAGCUACUGAAACCAUGAAGAAUCGGGGCAUAUUUUUAUGAGUGGGGAUGAAAAGAGAGAUUUAAGAUUUUUAGCCUUUCCAUGAUGCUCUCAGAUGCAUGGUUGAAUUUUAAGGUGUUUCUGAAUGGAUCCAGAUUGUGAUGUGCUGUAAUUAUAUUUGUUGUCUUUUGAAACAGACUCAGUUGCAGUUCAUUGUCAUUCUCUGUUCAUUUUCCUGAUUGAGAAUUACUCUCUGCAGUGCUUGUUGCUGGAAAAUAUUUAGUUGCCAGUGUUUAUUUCUGUCUUACAAGUUCAGCUGAGUCCUCUUUGCUUUAUGGUGAGGGACUGCUGCUGGCUAUUAGCUGUGCUUUGAAGACAAAUAUCCCUAUUUUCAUUCAAGUUCAGAUUGUGUUUGCUCUGAAACCCAAUGGAAGUGUUAGCUGUAUCUCAGUUCCCUGAUUUGGGUUGAUAGGACUUGCCUGUGAAUCUUGUUCUGACAGAUGAUUACCUCCCUGGACUCCUUCCUUAGGUAACUUAGCAAAGAGUCCCAGGUAUGCUUUGCAAGGUAGAACCACGUGUAGACAACAGGGUUUUAUUGUUCUUCAGGGGGAAAAAAUAAGUAGCAUGGAAACAUGAAAUCUGAAUCACCCUGAAUUUAAAAAUAAAAAUCUAGGAGAUACAGCGACUUAAUGCUGUAAGUUGGAAGAAUGGUGGUGAAGUUCUUGAAUAUGAGAUUUGUUUUAAACUGACAAUAAAACUGUGUGCAAUCUGUGCUUUUGCAGUAAAUGUAAAGCGUGCCAUGGAUUAGCUAAUCUUCCAGAAGAACCCCAGCAUCUGCAUGCCAUGGCAAGUGAUCUGAGGAGCUCCAGGUGGGUGUGCUACAUGUAUAUCGAGUCGUCUCUCUAGACACUGUACUCUAUGAACUGCACGUGCAUUGUAGAAUUGUUUCCUUCCUGGUCCUUUUGUAAUGUCUGGUGUUUUGGUUUUGUUUUUUUUUCCAAAUAAAUAUCUUUUGAAGUCAUUACUUUGUGGGUGUUUUCCAAGGAUCUGAGCGUUCUCUUGUGUUGCUGGUCCUCGCUGAUGUAUUUAUUCUCUUUGGAUCACACGGGGUAAGGGAGCAGAGAAAGUCAUAAUUGCUUCAGUUGGGUGCAAAAUGCAAACCCUUUUUUCUGAAGACUUUGUUUUAAGUAUUUUCUUGGAGAGCCCCUAACAGAGGGAAAAUAAUUCUGAGCAAACCUGAAGAAACUUCUCAUGACACAAAAUCUAUUCUGAAUUUACAUUUGGAAAGCAGUGAUAAAUUAGAGUUCAGCAUCUUGUGAUUUUUACUCUCCUGUGAAGUGCCGAAUCCUGUGGGAACCUUCAGCAGUAUGAAGUUAAGGGUAGCCUUGCACUUGCAUGAAUAAUAAAGAUUUGGCUUAAUCUUGGCUCAUUAGAUCCCCCCACCCCGGAGGAAUGAGAAGAGCACACCCAGUGGUCUUUAACAUGCAGCACCUCGCUGUCUUUGAAGUCUUCCAUUUGAUUUUUUUUCAGGCACUAAGGGGUAAAGUGCCCCGUGAACUGCCAUAGGUGGUGAUCUGUGUGUGCGUGGAUGUAGUUACUGAAGAAUUCCUUUCUUCUAGAAAGUGUUCUGGCAUGUCACAUUGUUCAGUCUGGCUUCAUUUUUCAUUUCAGCUGUGCAGGCAUUUCCAGAAUCACUCUGCUCUUUUUCCCUUUUGCUUAUUCCUUUUCACAUGCCAUGUGCCAGUCCUGCUGAGCUGCAGGAUCGAGUGCUUCCUAAAAACAACUACACCAAUGCUGGCACAAGACUGUUACGGAGACUUGACCAUGAAAGCAGAAUUAUAGUUAAUCCUGUACCAAACGUGUUAAGCAAAUGAAAUAAAAUAAAAAUCCAGAUGUUCUGAAUUCUGGCUCAGCUCUGUCUUCAAACAAACGCAGCUUCGUGUCCACCUGGAUUGGGCACAAGGUGACCUAAUGUUUGUGUGCAGCUGUUGGCGGGGAGGGGGGACGGUGUGAUG